rnacentral:rRNA from 1 species
GACGGAAGGUGCAAGCGUUGCUCGGAAUCACUGGGCGUAAAGGGUGCGUAGGCGGCCGUGCAAGUCUGGCGUGAAAGCCCCGGGCUCAGCCCGGGAAGUGCGCUCGAAACUGCGCGGCUCGAGUGCCGGAGGGGAGAGUGGAAUUCCUGGUGUAGCGGUGAAAUGCGUAGAUAUCAGGAGGAAUACCGGUGGCGAAGGCGGCAUCCUGGACCGGCAUUGACGCUGAGGAGCGAAAGCUAGGGGAGCAAACGGG